rnacentral:rRNA from 1 species
CCUACGGGGGGCAGCAGUGGGGAAUAUUGGACAAUGGGGGCAACCCUGAUCCAGCCAUGCCGCGUGUGUGAAGAAGGCCCUCGGGUUGUAAAGCACUUUCAGUGAGGAAGAACGCCUGGUGGUUAAUACCCAUCAGGAAAGACAUCACUCACAGAAGAAGCACCGGCUAACUCCGUGCCAGCAGCCGCGGUAAUACGGAGGGUGCGAGCGUUAAUCGGAAUUACUGGGCGUAAAGCGCGCGUAGGUGGCUUGAUAAGCCGGUUGUGAAAGCCCCGGGCUCAACCUGGGAACGGCAUCCGGAACUGUCAAGCUAGAGUGCAGGAGAGGAAGGUAGAAUUCCCGGUGUAGCGGUGAAAUGCGUAGAGGUCGGGAGGAAUACCAGUGGCGAAGGCGGCCUUCUGGACUGACACUGACACUGAGGUGCGAAAGCGUGGGUAGCAAACAGGAUUAGAUACCCCAGUAGUC